rnacentral:tRNA from 1 species
CAGGGAGACAACAAAAUGUAAAUAUUAAUUUUGUCACCUUAGGUCGAUCGGUAUCUCAGAUUCUUAUUAUUUAAGAAUUUCAGUUUCUAAGUUUUUUCUAGGUCACACCCAUCAUUUUUUCCUGGGCCAUUAGCUCAGGUGGUUAGAGCGCACCCCUGAUAAGGGUGAGGUCCCUGGUUCAAGUCCAGGAUGGCCCAUAUCUCUAUGUUGGGGGUAUAGCUCAGUUGGUAGAGCGCCUGCUUUGCAAGCAGGAUGUCGUCGGUUCUAGUCCGCUUACCUCCACUGAAUACCACCUCUUAGAUAUAGUUGAAGUGGGAAAUUGUUUUGAGUCGUGUCCUAAUUUGCUCUGAGCGAAUCUAGCUUCCUAUUUUAUCCAAGAAAUAAGAUGCUGGACUCAUUGAAUUUUUUUUCAUUGUUUUCAGAGAACCUUGACAACUGCAUAGAUUAUUUUUAAAGACAAUAAGCAUCUUUAAUGAUGCAGAUUUAUUAUUUGUGCGAAUGCAUUAAAUAACAAUUCUAUUAAGCUGAUGCUUCAAUUAUUGAAGUUAUU